rnacentral:rRNA from 1 species
UGGGGAAUAUUGGACAAUGGGCGAAAGCCUGAUCCAGCCAUGCCGCGUGUGUGAAGAAGGUCUUCGGAUUGUAAAGCACUUUAAGUUGGGAGGAAGGGCAGUAAAUUAAUACUUUGCUGUUUUGACGUUACCGACAGGAUAAGCACCGGCUAACUCUGUGCCAGCAGCCGCGGUAAUACAGAGGGUGCAAGCGUUAAUCGGAAUUACUGGGCGUAAAGCGCGCGUAGGUGGUUCGUUAAGUUGGAUGUGAAAUCCCCGGGCUCAACCUGGGAACUGCAUUCAAAACUGACGAGCUAGAGUAUGGUAGAGGGUGGUGGAAUUUCCUGUGUAGCGGUGAAAUGCGUAGAUAUAGGAAGGAACACCAGUGGCGAAGGCGACCACCUGGACUGAUACUGACACUGAGGUGCGAAAGCGUGGGGAGCAAAACAGGAUUAGAUACCCUGGUAGUCCACGCCGUAAACGAUGUCAACUAGCCGUUGGGAGCCUUGAGCUCUUAGUGGCGCAGCUAACGCAUUAAGUUGACCGCCUGGGGAGUACGGCCGCAAGGUUAAA